GGACAGACAGGUGUCCUGGGCACAGACCCCGCCCAUGAGCCAGAGAAGUGCUCCUGCCCCGGGAAGAGGCUCAGCACAGAAGGAGGAAGGACAGCACAACUGACAGCCGUGCUCAGAAAGUUUCUGGAUCCCCGGCUCAUCUCCACAGAGGAGAACACGCAGGCAGCACUGGCCAUGGGGCCCCUCUCAGUCCCUCCCUGCACACUGCACAUCACCUGGAAGCAGCUCCUGCUCACAGCAUCACUUUUCAUCUUUUGGAACCCACCUAUCGCGGCCCAAGUCACGAUUGAAGCUCAUCCAACCGAAGUUUCUGAGGGGAAGGAUGUUCUUCUACUUGUCCACAAUUUGCCCCAGAAUCCUACUGGCUACAUCUGGUACAAAGGGCAAAUAACGGAUAGCCACAAUUACAUUACAUCAUAUGUAAUAGACACUGAAAUGAUUAUAUUUGGGCCUGCAUACAGUGGACGAGAAACAGUAUAUUCCAAUGCAUCCCUGCUGAUCCAGAAUGUCACCCGGAAGGACACAGGAUCCUACACCAUACAAAUCAUAAAGCGAGGUGAUACCACUAAAGGAAUAACUGGACAUUACACCUUAUACCUGGAGACUCCCAAGCCCUCCAUCUCCAGCAGCAACUUAAACCCCAGGGAGGCCAUGGAGACUGUGAUCUUAUCCUGUGAUCCUGACACUCAGAACGCAAGCUACCUGUGGUGGAUAAAUGGCCAGGGCCUCCCUAUCAGUUCCAGGUUGCAGCUGUCCGAAAACAACAGGACCCUCAUUCUAUUUGGUGUCACAAAGGAUACUGCAGGACCCUAUGAAUGUGAAGUGAAGAGCCCAGUGAGUUCCAGCCGCAGUGACCCAGUCACCCUGAAUCUCAUCUGUGAGUAUCUUCUGUUCCUCUGUGUGCCAGGCUGCCAUCCCAAAUACACAUGGCCAGAGGCCAGGCCUCCCAGUCCCUCUCAGGUGCAAGUACACAGACCUUUACCCCUGGACAUCAAGGCUGGCCAUGAAUCAUCAUGCAUCUGUCUUGUGACACACACACCAGCUAUUGACUUUCAAGGACUCGGGUGGGCUGAGAGGUGGGAGAUGCUAACUCUGAUUGAAAGAUGCCUGUGGAGGAAUCAAAGGUGCCACACAGGACAAUCUUCUCUCUGUUAUCUGCCCAGGGGAGCUUCCCAAGCCUACAUCACCAGCAAGAACUUCAGCCCCAUGGAGAAUAAGAAUGUUGUAGCCUUAACCUGUGAACCUAAGACUCAGGGCUACAUCUACAUGUGGUAGUUAAAUAGUCAGAGACUCCCGGUCAGUCUCAGGCUAGAGCAACCCGGUAAAAACAGGAUCCUCAUUCUAGCCAAUGUCACGAGAAAUGACACAGAUCCCUAUGAAUGUGAAAUAUGGGACCGAGUUUGUAGCAUCUGCAGUGACCCAGUCACCCUGGAUGUCCUUUAUGGUCCACACGACCCCAGCAUUUUCUCUCCAUUCACCAAUUACCGUUCAGGAGAAAACCUCUUCUUGUCCUGCUUCGCGGACUCUAACCCACCGGCAGAGUAUACUUGGACGAUUAAUGGGAAGUUUCUGCAAUCAGGACAAGAGCUCUCUAUCCCCAAAAUUACUACAAAGCAUAGCGGGAUCUAUGGUUGCUCUGCUCGUAACUCAGUCACUGACAGCGAACGUUCCACAUUCCAGAAGAUCAAAGUCUCUCGUAAGUGGAUCGCUGCAUCAUAGGCAAUAGGGUUUUAG